ACCCUAAGAAGUAUUUCAGGUGAGGGUGUUGUGCCACAUGUGCAUUUGUCGGUGGCAAAGAGGAGGGAGACUAUGUCUACACUGAGUGUUCUGACCUAUGAAUGUUAGUCAUUAGUAGCCUAACGUU
ensembl:snoRNA LOC120098395 small nucleolar RNA SNORA17